rnacentral:rRNA from 1 species
GCGUUGUCCGGAUUUAUUGGGCGUAAAGAGCUCGUAGGCGGUUUAGUAAGUCGGGUGUGAAAACUCUGGGCUUAACCCAGAGACGCCAUCCGAUACUGCUGUGACUUGAGUUCCGGAGGGGAGCGGGGAAUUCCUAGUGUAGCGGUGAAAUGCGCAGAUAUUAGGAGGAACACCGGUGGCGAAGGCGCCGCUCUGGACUGAAACUGACGCUGAGGAGCGAAAGCAU